rnacentral:lncRNA from 1 species
CGAGGACCGAGCACUGUUUCAGCCCCCAGCUCCAUCUUCCCUGGGCUGCAGCCUCCGGGCACCUGUGGAGGAAGCCGCCGUCUCCGCCUCCCCGCCGGCUGUGAGAGGACAACUUGAAGUUUCCCUGAAUUGUUCUUGCCUCAUUGAGUGAGAAGAUGAGACCAAAAGGGAGAACCUAGGUGUACUGAACAUUUUUUUAAAAAUCCCAGAAGGUAAGUAGGUAGACUUUGUUUGCAUGGGCUGUGAUUUGUAGGAGGGUUUCAUUUUCUAGAGC